GUCUCUGAAACAUAAAGGACUUUUGCAUCGCUGGAGAGAACAAAGAGGAAUCCAUCCAGUGCCUGAAGCCAAACAAACAUUUUGUAUGUCUGCAGAAGUACUGCUAGUCGGUGGCGGUGAAGAAAUGGAGGAUGGCGGAGAGGGACUUCCAGGACUUCCAAAAUGAACAUCUGAAUAAACAAAAAGAAGACCCGGGUGAAUUUGAGGACUCUGACAAGAGGGAGCUAGUCGACCCCAGACGAUAACGUUUACCUGUUUAAGUUAAGUUAAUGAGAAGUUAGCAUGCUGAAAUAACAUACUAAGGCCACAUUUGAGGGUUUCAACUCAUGUUUUGAAUGUCAAGAGGUAACUGAUUGUAAGUCGCACGAUGGAAGCCUUAUCCAGCUGGGAUGUAAUGGCACUGGGUAAUGGCAGGAGUUUGGCCA